UAAUGUAUUUUUCAUUAUGGUCUUUUACGGCAUGCAUUGAUGUGUGCCGUAAAAGUAAAAGGCGCAAAAAUUUUCGCCAAAAUUUUAUUUCCCUCCAUCUCUUCCCACUACACAUUUCAUUUUUAUUUUUUUCAUUUCAUAACACAAAAACUCCUCUCUCUCCCCGACACAGACCUCAAUUUUCGCCAUCUCUUCCUUCCACGUCUCUUCCCACCGCCAAGUCGCCGUUCACUGGAUUUGCUCCACCGCCGAGUCGCUGGCUGCGUACCUCCCACCACCAUCAUGUUCUCUGCUCCUCUCAUCGAAAUGUCAUGGAUCGAUUGAGCUACGAAUUAAAGAACAUUGAAGUGGUUGCCGCUAUUGGAGAUUGGGGCCACAUGUUUCAGGGUCUUGAAGUUCCUGAAACCCUUUUGGAGAAAGUUGAAAACUUUGGCCUUGUAUUGCUCAUUUGCUAUCUGGGUUUUCUUCUCUGGCCAAAUCAAGAACACAUCACAUCAGAAAAUGCUGCAGAUACCACUCAAAUUACCAUCUGCUGUAAGCAAAAAAGAAGAAGUUGAAGAUAGAGAGAAGAGUGAUAGUAGAAGAAGCAAAUCAAAUGGGCAAUUGGUGCAGAGUAGUUUGCUAAGGACACCAUCAUUGCCACCGUCUUUAGGGACGCCAGACCUCAGCUCUGUUUGCCCAAAAGACUGAAAUUCAUGAUUGAGAGAAAGAGAGAAGAAAGAAGCACAAGAAUAAAGCAGAGAAAAGGAAGAGGGGGACGGGAAGCAAUCAAAAUCGGUCUGGAUAGGCAAAGAAUUCUUUCUGCAUUCCUUGCCUUGGUCAGAUUGAGGGAAAGCAUGUUGGCAUAGGUCGGCUUUGGGUUUAGUCUGUCCAAGAGGGAUUCAAGGGAGGUUCCAUUGAAAUCAAACUUCUUUUGUUUCUUUCUGGAUAAAGGGGUUUAUGAUUGUUAGAUUGGGUUUGUCAUGAACAAGGAGAAGGAAGGUGAUUUUUGGAAUUGCAUUGAGGAAAGCACGAGAGCUGCAGAGAGUUUGGAACACCAAGUAGGGCUCAAGGAAGUACAAUUGCAUGGCCUAUCAAGUACAUCAAGUUGGUUUAGCUAGUAUUGAAACUUUGAGGUAAUUUAUUCUAUCAUCUCUUUUUCUUCCAUAUCUGUGUGCAGAUAUAAGGUUACUUUUGUUCUUUUUGGUUUUCUGGUUCUUACUUCUUGGUUUCAUUUAAAAUUAUCUUACUUUUCAUAUAGCUUCAGAUUUUUAUUGCAUUGUUGGAAAGUCUGAAAGAGCUGCAUUUUUUCAGAGUUACUUUUGUUCUUUUUGGGCUUAUGUACAGGUUUUCUUUUACAGAGUUCAUAUAUCUUCUCCUAAGUUGAGAGCUUGGGUUUUACUUUUGGUGUGAUUGGAGGAAUGGAAAAGCGCUAUGGCCGGAUACUAGCUCUCUCUUUUAGUGUUUGUUGGUUUAUUUUGUGUUUUUAAGUCAUUGAUUGUUUUCAGAAAAGUUGUGCUGAAAUAUUAGGUAAUUGAACUUGUUACUGUUAGUGAAAAAUUGACAUCUUCAUAUAUAUGUUUAACUCAGAUGGUCAUUUGCUAUUAGAUGGUUUGCUGAGUACUUGCUUCUAUUUAUUAUUAACUGUGUUUUACAUUCAUAACAGGGACUUCCAGUUUUUGAGGGACUUCCAGAUUUUGAG